rnacentral:piRNA from 1 species
AAGAAUGUAACACUUUGAGGGUGACUGUC